rnacentral:rRNA from 1 species
GGCAGCAGCCGCGGUAACACCGGCGGCCCGAGUGGUGAUCGUGAUUAUUGGGUCUAAAGGGUCCGUAGCCGGUUUGGUCAGUCCUCCGGGAAAUCUGAUAGCUCAACUAUUAGGCUUUCGGGGGAUACUGCCAGACUUGGAACCGGGAGAGGUAAGAGGUACUACAGGGGUAGGAGUGAAAUCUUGUAAUCCCUGUGGGACCACCUGUGGCGAAGGCGUCUUACCAGAACGGGUUCGACGGUGAGGGACGAAAGCUGGGGGCACGAACCGGAUUAGAUACCCGGGUAGUCCCAGCCGUAAACGAUGCUCGCUAGGUGUCAGGCAUGGCGCGACCGUGUCUGGUGCCGCAGGGAAGCCGUGAAGCGAGCCACCUGGGAAGUACGGCCGCAAGGCUGAAACUUAAAGGAAUUGGCGGGGGAGCACAACAACGGGUGGAAGCCUGCGGUUUAAUUGGACUCAACGCCGGACAACUCACCGGGGGCGACAGCAAUAUGUAGGCCAAGCUGAAGACUUUGCCUGAAUCGCUGAGAGGAGGUGCAUGG